rnacentral:rRNA from 1 species
AACGAACGCUGGCGGCAGGCUUAACACAUGCAAGUCGAACGCCCCGCAAGGGGAGUGGCAGACGGGUGAGUAACGCGUGGGAACGUACCUUUCAGUUCGGAAUAACUCAGGGGAAACUUGUGCUAAUACCGGAUACGCCCGCAAGGGGGAAAGAUUUAUCGCUGAAAGAUCGGCCCGCGUUGGAUUAGCUAGUUGGUGGGGUAAAGCCUACCAAGGGCGACGAUCCAUAGCUGGUCUGAGAGGAUGAUCAGCCACACUGGGACUGAGACACGGCCCAGACUCCUACGGGAGGCAGCAGUGGGGAAUAUUGGACAAUGGGCGCAAGCCUGAUCCAGCCAUGCCGCGUGUGUGAUGAAGGCCUUAGGGUUGUAAAGCACUUUCACCGAUGAAGAUAAUGACGGUAGUCGGAGAAGAGCCCCGGCUAACUUCGUGCCAGCAGCCGCGGUAAAAGUCUCUAU